GCGAUAAGGGGACCUCGAGUGCCAGGUUACAAAUCUGGCUGUCGUGAUGCCUAAAAAGCAUUGCAUAGCAAGGGCCGGGCAAGACCGGUGCCAGCCGCCGCGGUAACACCGGCGGCUCGAGUGGUAACCGUUAUUAUUGGGUCUAAAGGGUCUGUAGCCGGCCGGAUAAGUCUCUUGAGAAAUCUGGCAGCUUAACUGUCAGGCUUUCAGGAGAUACUGUCUGGCUCGAGGCCGGGAGAGGUGAGAGGUACUUCAGGGGUAGGGGUGAAAUCUUGUAAUCCUUGAAGGACCACCAGUGGCGAAGGCGUCUCACCAGAACGGACCUGACGGCAAGGGACGAAAGCUAGGGGCACGAACCGGAUUAGAUACCCGGGUAGUCCUAGCCGUAAACGAUACUCGCUAGGUGUCGGCCACGGUGCGACCGUUGUCGGUGCCGUAGGGAAGCCGUGAAGCGAGC
rnacentral:rRNA from 1 species